AGUGAACGCUGGCGGUAGGCCUAACACAUGCAAGUCGAACGGCAGCACAGUAAGAGCUUGCUCUUACGGGUGGCGAGUGGCGGACGGGUGAGGAAUACAUCGGAAUCUACUUUUUCGUGGGGGAUAACGUAGGGAAACUUACGCUAAUACCGCAUACGACCUACGGGUGAAAGCAGGGGAUCUUCGGACCUUGCGCGAUUGAAUGAGCCGAUGUCGGAUUAGCUAGUUGGCGGGGUAAAGGCCCACCAAGGCGACGAACCGUAGCUGGUCUGAGAGGAUGAUCAGCCACCCUGGAACUGAGACACGGUCCAGACUCCUACGGGAGGCAGCAGUGGGGAAUAUUGGACAAUGGGCGCAAGCCUGAUCCAGCCAUACCGCGUGGGUGAAGAAGGCCUUCGGGUUGUAAAGCCCUUUUGUUGGGAAAGAAAAGCAGCAGGUUAAUACCCCGCUGUUCUGACGGUACCCAAAGAAUAAGCACCGGCUAACUUCGUG
rnacentral:rRNA from 1 species